AUAAAUAUCCGCAGCUUACCCAUCAUCUCUUGCACCACUCCUUCAGUAACAAUGGCCAUCGAUAUGACCAUCGUCCUCAUUGUUUUCUCUUUCAUUAUCUCCAUUUACUUCAUAUUUAUCAGAAAAUCCAACAGUUCGAAGGCUCUAAACCUGCCACCAGGCCCACCAACGCUACCCAUCAUCGGAAACCUCCACCANUAUAUAUAUAUAAUGCGGAGCUUACCCGUCUUCUCUUGCACCACUCCUUGAGUAACAAUGGUCAUCGAUAUGACCAUCGUCCUCAUUGCUUUCUCUUUCAUUAUCUCCGUUUACUUCAUAUUCAUCAGAAAACCCAAGGGUUCGAAAGCUCUAAACCUGCCACCAGGCCCACCAACACUACCCAUCAUCGGAAACCUCCAUCAGAUUGGUCUAGAACUGCCACAUCGAGCUUUCCGCAACUUGUCCAAGAAAUAUGGCCCCAUCAUGAGCCUGCAACUCGGCCAGAUCUCCAUGAUCGUCGUCUCUUCCCCAAAGUUAGCUGAAGAAGUGCUAAAAACCAAC
rnacentral:lncRNA from 1 species